CGAACGGGUGAGUAACGCGUGAGGAACCUGCCUCAAAGAGGGGGACAACAGUUGGAAACGACUGCUAAUACCGCAUAAGCCCACGGCUCGGCAUCGAGCAGAGGGAAAAGGAACAAUCCGCUUUGAGAUGGCCUCGCGUCCGAUUAGCUAGUUGGUGAGGUAACGGCCCACCAAGGCGACGAUCGAUAGCCGGACUGAGAGGUUGAACGGCCACAUUGGGACUGAGACACGGCCCAG
rnacentral:rRNA from 1 species